rnacentral:rRNA from 1 species
UGGGGAAUAUUGCACAAUGGGCGGAAGCCUGAUGCAGCAACGCCGCGUGCGGGAUGACGGCCUUCGGGUUGUAAACCGCUUUCGCCUGUGACGAAGCGUGAGUGACGGUAAUGGGUAAAGAAGCACCGGCUAGCUACGUGCCAGCAGCCGCGGUAAUACGUAGGGCGCGAGCGUUGUCCGGAAUUAUUGGGCGUAAAGAGCUUGUAGGCGGUUUGUUGCGUCUGCUGUGAAAGACCGGGGCUUAACCCCGGUAUUGCAGUGGGUACGGGCAGACUAGAGUGCAGUAGGGGAGACUGGAAUUCCUGGUGUAGCGGUGAAAUGCGCAGAUAUCAGGAGGAACACCGAUGGCGAAGGCAGGUCUCUGGGCUGUAACUGACGCUGAGAAGCGAAAGCAUGGGGAGCGAACAGGAUUAGAUACCCUGGUAGUCCAUGCCGUAAACGUUGGGCACUAGGUGUGGGGGACAUUCCACGUUUUCCGCGCCGUAGCUAACGCAUUAAGUGCCCCGCCUGGGGAGUACGGCCGCAAGGCUA